UACGUAGGGUGCAAGCGUUAAUCGGAAUUACUGGGCGUAAAGCGUGCGCAGGCGGCUUUGCAAGACAGAUGUGAAAUCCCCGGGCUUAACCUGGGAACUGCAUUUGUGACUGCAUCGCUGGAGUGCGGCAGAGGGGGUGGAAUUCCCAGUGUAGCGGUGAAAUGCGUAGAUAUUGGGAGGAACACCGGUGGCGAAGGCGGCCCCCUGGACCGGUACUGACGCUGAGGCGCGAAAGCGUGGGUAGCAAACGGG
rnacentral:rRNA from 1 species